rnacentral:lncRNA from 1 species
UGGUAGAAAAGGAGAAGUCCUUUACGAUUUGUGAGAUUGAGUUUAGAAAAUCUUCGAUCAAAGCAAGUGUGAAUGGUGGAAAGGAGUUUUCAUAGAAUUCACAAGUAAACUUGAGUCGAGCCAAUAUGGCAUAUGACUGACGAUGGAGUUUGACGAGUUUUUCAUGACCUCCAUCAAAUUGGGACUUAUGAUAGAAAGACUGAAUCACAUGGUAACUACACCUAAAGGUUCAUACUUUCAUUCUACUACGUUACCAUUACAUACUGCUGGAU